GACCCGUCUUGAAACACGGACCAAGGAGUUUAUCGUGUGCGCGAGUCAUUGGGCGUUAAAAACCCAAAGGCGCAAUGAAAGUGAAUGCCUCCGCAAGGAGCUGACGUGCGAUCCCGGGUACCUCGGUGCCUGGGCGCAGCAUGGCCCCAUCCUGACUGCUUGCAGUGGGGUGGCGGAAGAGCGUAUGGGGUGAGACCCGAAAGAUGGUGAACUAU
rnacentral:rRNA from 1 species